rnacentral:miRNA from 1 species
GACGUCGAAUAUCGAUGUCAUAAACACCAAACUUGUUCGUGUUUAUGACGUCGAAUAUCGACGUCAUCAACACCAAAGUUGAUCGUGUUUAUGACGUCGAAUAUCGACGUCAUAAACAUCAAAAUUGAUCAUGUUUCUGACGUCGAAUAUCGACGUCAUAAACACCAAAUUUGUUCGUGUUUAUGACGUCGAAUAUCGACGUCAUAAACACCAAACUUGUUCGUGUUUAUGACGUCGAAUAUCGACGUC